AUCCAAAGUGUUGAGUUCAGUUCAGGGCAGCUCCCCUGUUCUGUUCAUUAAACUUUGGGACAUCGGAACACAGGCUGGAGGAGAUGCUUGAAUAGAAAGCAAUGCUCUAUGCGUUUACCUCCCAGUCUACCAAA